UACAGAGGAGCCAAGCGUUGUCCGGAUUGACUGGGCGUAAAGCGCACGCAGGCGGAUGCGCGCGUGGGGUGUGAAAUCUGGCCGCUUAACGGCCAGGCGCCAUCCCAUACGGCGCGUCUGGAGUGAUGCAGAGGUCGAUGGAAUUGCCGGUGUAGUGGUGAAAUGCGUAGAGAUCAGCAGGAACACCCGUGGCGAAGGCGGCCCCCUGGGCCGUACCUGACGCUGAGGCGCGAAGGCUAGGGGAGCGAACGGG
rnacentral:rRNA from 1 species